rnacentral:rRNA from 1 species
GAUGAACGCUGGCGGCGUGCCUAAUACAUGCAAGUCGAGCGAACGGACGAGAAGCUUGCUUCUCUGAUGUUAGCGGCGGACGGGUGAGUAACACGUGGAUAACCUACCUAUAAGACUGGGAUAACUUCGGGAAACCGGAGCUAAUACCGGAUAAUAUUUUGAACCGCAUGGUUCAAAAGUGAAAGACGGUCUUGCUGUCACUUAUAGAUGGAUCCGCGCUGCAUUAGCUAGUUGGUAAGGUAACGGCUUACCAAGGCAACGAUGCAUAGCCGACCUGAGAGGGUGAUCGGCCACACUGGAACUGAGGCACGGUCCAGACUCCUACGGGAGGCAGCAGUAGGGAAUCUUCCGCAAAGGGCGAAAGCCUGACGGAGCAACGCCGCGUGAGUGAUGAAGGUCUUCGGAUCGUAAAACUCUGUUAUUAGGGAAGAACAUAUGUGUAAGUAACUGUGCACAUCUUGACGGUACCUAAUCAGAAAGCCACGGCUAACUACGUG